rnacentral:rRNA from 1 species
GGGUCAGUAGGUUGGUCGUGCCACCGGUACGUACUGGUCUCACUGAUUCCUCCUUCCUGAGUAACCGUAAUGCCAUUAAUUUGGUGUUGCGGGGAAACAGGACUGUUACUUUGAAAAAAUUAGAGUGUUUAAAGCAAGCUAACGCUUGAAUACAUUAGCAUGGAAUAAUGAAAUAGGACGAUCGAUCCUAUUUUGUUGGUUUCUAGGAUUGACGUA